UGCCAACACCUAUUUUUAAUUUAAUUUUCACAUUGUACAAUACUUUUUUCUUUUGCUGCUAACCUAUUGAUCUUUCACUGCGUUGACUUAAACCACCCAUUUUGGCUAACGUCAAAGUAACAAAUUCGCAAGACAAUUUUGGAGUGUGCGACUGACAGAAAAUAUGUCGCCAUUUGAUUGACGACGUGUGAUAUUUGUCAAAAAUUUCAUAGAUUUAUUGCUAAAUUUGUUGACCAAAUUCAGACGCGCCACAGCAGCUAUUACGAGAAUCCAUGUGGAAUUGCCAACUCGUUUUUUGUAGAGUGUAGUGAUCGAGCCAUAUUUGUGGUAAGAACGGUGCUGUAUUUUUUUACUGGUAAGCUGUGGUCAACGAAUGAGUGAUUACGAAAGUGAUUGUGACAUCCUUCAACGAAAAUGAGAAAUUUCAGCAAAAAUUGUUUGUGAUCACAUCUUUUACCGGAUUUGAACAAAAGUAUUGCAAUUCUAUUCAUCUAUUAUUAUAUAGGGAUACUGAGCGCAAAUAAAGUUUCCUGCACACGCAAACACCAUCUUGCUCGCUUACACCACCGCCAUUCGGCACACCCUUAGCAGCCGCUGUAUACACACUGCCAUCCCGUUUUAACUCGCUGCCUUUAAAGCAUGCAAUUGACGUGCACACCACUAUUUGGCACACUUCAACCAACGCGCAUUGUUGUUGCACGCCGCAUUGUUUACAUCAGCAUGCACGUUGCGCCAACAAUUUGUCGAGUCGGCAGCCACCAUCUAUCAAUUCUGGGUACCUGGUAAAUGACGCGCGCCGAGAUACAACACCUCAAAUGUUUGCGGCCACGCGACGUCUCAGGGUGACCAACGUAUUUUAAAAGUAAGCAAAAAUCAAAAAAAAAAUACUUUCCUAUAAAGAAUUUCAUUAAAUAGCGAAAUUGUGUAGCAAAAACACACAUUUUAAGCAAUUUUAUUUAGAAAAAAAUUUACAAAUACUUUUUUACAAAUCAAAUAUUUAAGUGAUUUUUGUUAGGCAUUUUUAAAAAUUUAACUAAUCUAGAUAUAAAUAGUUUAUAACUUUUAUUCAAUAGUUAAAAAUAAAUUACUGUUGAUCUAAAUUAUUACUAAUUAAAUAAAUUAUUAUUAACUAAAUAAAUUAUUGUUGACUAAAUAAAUUAUUGUUGUUUAGCAUUAUAAAACUUCCACUGCCCUCAGGCAAGUAUUUCACGACAGCAUUUAAAUAUGAAUAUUCCGUUGAUGGCAACUCUCCGGCAACAUUUGGCUUCUGGAUAUGCAGCGUGUUGUGUGGCGUUGCUUGCGGCUGCUGCUUUGCUUGCCGAUGUUUAUCCUCUGUAAUUUUUGUUGUUAUUGUCGCUAUGUUGCGCUGUCGCGAUGCAACAAUUUCGAUUUGUGUAUGGAAAAGCGGGCGACCAGGAAAACGAGUAGCUGAAAUGGGAUACUGAAGACAUGUUUAGGCGUUGUAGAUACAUUUUCUACACAUUUUGUGUGUGUGUGUGUGUAUGUAUGACGAAAGUGUAUCUUAUGGAUUUGUAAACAUUUGUAGAAUGGCCGCUUGGAAACAGCUGAUGACUGCUGAAGGGUGGAAACUAAAGCCUGUUAAGAUAUAAAAAGGGCAGAUUAAAGUGGUUGCAAGCAUUAUACAUUCUUACAUACAAAUGUUAAUUUAGAAAUUUAGUUACAGAUGUGCAUAUGAACAUGUGUAUUCCAGCAGGUAAUUAAAAUGGAAUAUGAUGAUAAUUAAACGCUAGUAACGGCUUUUAGGUAUAAUUUUAAAUGAAAAAUGUUUAUUAAGCUAUUAAAUACUUGUACUAUCAGCGUUAUUUUGUAUAAUACUAUUUAAAAAAAAAACAUAUUUAAU